rnacentral:sRNA from 1 species
AGUUCUCAUAUCUGGGGAAGGUAAGAACCUUCGACAAGGUUCGCGCCGAGCGUAGCGAGACAACGACGCAAAGCGGCGG